UACGGAAGGCGCAGUGGGGAAUAUUGCACAAUGGGCGCAAGCCUGAUGCAGCCAUGCCGCGUGUAUGAAGAAGGCCUUCGGGUUGUAAAGUACUUUCAGUCGUGAGGAAGGUGUUAAGGUUAAUAACCUUAGCAAUUGACGUUAGCGACAGAAGAAGCACCGGCUAACUCCGUGCCAGCAGCCGCGGUAAUACGGAGGGUGCGAGCGUUAAUCGGAAUUACUGGGCGUAAAGGGCACGCAGGCGGUUAAUUAAGUUGGAUGUGAAAUCCCCGGGCUUAACCUGGGAAUGGCAUUCAAGACUGGUUAGCUAGAGUCUUGUAGAGGGGGUAGAAUUCCAUGUGUAGCGGUGAAAUGCGUAGAGAUGUGGAGGAAUACCGGUGGCGAAGGCGGCCCCUGGGACAAAGGCUGACGCUCAUGUGCGAAAGCGUGGGGAGCAAACAGGGAUUAGAUACC
rnacentral:rRNA from 1 species